rnacentral:rRNA from 1 species
UACGUAGGGUGCGAGCGUUGUCCGGAAUUAUUGGGCGUAAAGGGCUCGUAGGCGGUUUGUCGCGUCGGGAGUGAAAACUCAGGGCUUAACCCUGAGCCUGCUUCCGAUACGGGCAGACUAGAGGUAUGCAGGGGAGAACGGAAUUCCUGGUGUAGCGGUGAAAUGCGCAGAUAUCAGGAGGAACACCGGUGGCGAAGGCGGUUCUCUGGGCAUUACCUGACGCUGAGGAGCGAAAGUGUGGGGAGCGAACAGGAUUAGAACCGGUAC